UUGAAGUUCGUCUCCUUGUCAGGUCAAGAGCUGUGUGAGUCUUUCUGCAUCUCAGUCAUUUCGACUGUAUGGCAUCGCAGAGAAAAGAAGCAGGAAGGCCAGUCUCCUGGCAGUCACGCAGAGAGGCUCCGCAGGCUGACUUCUGGAGCUCCUCCAGUCAUUACACACUUGGAAAGGGCUCUCCACAAAGUGAUCAUGCUUGCUGACCCCCGUUACCAGCAGAGACACUGCUGAGCGAGGCUGUCACUGCUUUCCGAAUGGUGUGCUGGCACUGGAGUUAUUGUCUUAGCAGCAGGGGGGUUCCCCUGACUUGGGGAAAGAUCACAAGCCAGCCCCUUCAUCUGGCAGAUUUGAAGGAAGCAACUAAAAACUACCGCUGUGAUUUUGUACCACAGCUGAUUCCGACAGCAGAAUGCAAAUUUACAGGGCUUCAACGAUCACUUUUUGUUCCAGCCAAAUGCUUGCAACAAUCGGUUCUCCUCUUUUUCACUGUGCUCUCUGAUGCCCUAGCAUUUAGUUUUCUAUUCUCCUUUGUAUGCAAAUAUGUUGAUUCAAUAAAUUUAUAAUGCAGGUGUCACACAAAGCAUUAGGAGAUGCAUAAAAACAAGCCCGUUUGCUUUCUGAUGACAUUUUUGCUUUCAAGGCAAGGUAUUCCCUGAACAUCUAAUGCAGAGGUUCAAAGAUCCGUUAUUGAGUUUCAAAGAUCCUUUAUUGGAUCCCACUCCACCAUUUGGGGGUCUUCAAGUUCUGGGCCCCAAUCAUUAAAGAUCACCUCUUCCCAUAUGCACCUGUCUGGACACUGCGUUUGCCAUACAAGGCUAUCUGUUCCUGUUGACCCAUCUCCAAAAGAAGCAUGGAGGGUGAAGAUCAGAGAACAGGCAUUCUCUUUAAUAGCAUCCAGUCUUUGGAAUGGUAGUACAAAUCUUGCUAUCAUUUUGGCACAGGUGUCAUGAACUGGCUGGACACAGAGGAAUGUUGGGAAGCACCAGCUGGGGACCCUGCAAGGGAAGAAGGCUCAGAGCCCAAGAAUUCGUGGUAGGAUGAUGAUGAGAGGUCAGAGGGAGAAGCCUGGGGGGGGGAGGUGGCGUUGGAAGCUGAAGAGGUAACAGGAUUUAGUGAGCAGUGAGAGUCUGUGCCAGAGAGAAGUCCAGAAUCAGAGACAGAAGCAGAGGAGAAGGGCGGCCAAAAGGCAGGGGUGAGUCAGGCUGGUGAAGAAGCCUGGGUGUCUUCCCUUUCUGCUGUGACAAGCUCCCUUCCCCCUGAUCUCCAAGGACUAGAAGAGGUAUAAAACAAGAGAAGCAAAUACAGGUUCACUGGCAUAGUCUCAGUUUGCUAGGCAAGGCUCUGCAGCAGGAGGAGACUAAGGGAGCUGUGGAAGGUGGGGACCUUCAGCUCCACAACUGCCUCAUAGGGGCAAGACCUACUAAGAAGAUUUGUUGCACUCAUUAGGCUUGGCACUCCUGAGCAGACCUUGUUUCUUCAAAUAAAAAGUUAACUUCA